rnacentral:lncRNA from 1 species
AGCCCUUUGCAGGACGUGCAACAGGGUUGUGGCUCGUGUGUUCGGUCUCUGCCUGCUGAAACCCCUUAUGGGAGGUGGAGCAUGCAGACGGACGGGUGCAGGAGCCAGGGUGCAAAAGCUGGGGCGCUGGGCUUCCAGCCCCACGGCAGUGUCCAGGGGCAGGAUCCCGUGAUUCCCGGAGCCCAAAUGGGCGUGUGUUACAGUGUGCUCUUUUAGCCUUACCAUCAGCUGACGGCUUAAGUGUUAACCAGCUCAAUAGACCCUCUGCCUUUUUGCAAGCGCAGAGGGUCAGUGUGACAGUUUCUGUAUCUCAGCUCUUGUCUCACCUCCCAGAAGAAUCAGGUCACACAUGGACUUGAAGGAUGGUGAGUGCCGGGGUGGGGGCGGGGGUAGAGGAGUUGGGGGAAGGUUGGGGGUGUUUAUUAGGUGGUAGGGGUGGCACUCAGUAGGAUGGAUGGGGAGCUGGAAAGGGGGUGGAGUAGGGAGAUGAUCUUCCCCUGGAGUUUAACCGUCCAGCGGUGGAUUCUCUAACUGUCCCCAGCUGAACUCCACCCAAUAUUCCUUCUCUUUUCUCUUUAUCUGCGGCUCUUCUGCUCUUCUGCUCUUCUGUUCAUCUGCUCAUCUUUUGCUGCUGGAGCCUGGUGUCUGGAGUUUAUACGGGUACAGGAUAGGGGGUCAUGGAGGGCCAAAAGAACACCAGAGACUGGGUAAUUAAUAAAAAGAAGAAAUUGAUCUGGCCUACAGUUCUGGAGCCUUGGAAGUCCGAGAUCAAGGAGCUGCAUCUGGGUUCUAGGAUGCCUCAUAAAGGCCCGUAGUGUACUUUCUGUCUACUUCACUUAGCUCCGCAUUUGCAAUUUCUGUUAACAUGCAUACAGUUGAAUGGAUGGCCAGGAUCAAAGCUAUCUGCUGUGAGACACAAUGAGAAAUGCUUUUGUGUAAAGGAAAACACAGAUCCUGGUGCCGAACAUGAGGACAGGGCAGGCCGAAGGAGAAAGUGGAAGGAGGGGAGCUUCUCUCUCAGCCUCAUCCUUCUGGGCCUGGAUGCUGGAGAGUCAUGAGGUGCUUCAGAGUACUCUGGGUGAGGAGGGAAAGAUGGUGCCCACCACAUGGAGGCCAGCCUAGGUCUUGUAUGAAACCUGUGAGGAGAUUCUCUCUCCCUUGCUGUCUUUGAAAAAGCAAGUUGCCAUGUGAAGAGGGCCAUAUAGCAUAGGAGCUGAAGGCAGCCUCCAACUGACGGCAAGAAAAUGAGGUCCUCAGUCUGACAACCUGCAAGAAACUGAAUGUUCUAAAAGCCACAUGAGCUUGGGAGCAGAUCUGACCCCAGCCAAAUCUCUGAAGUCCGCAGGCAGGAAAUGAAGAUCAGAAAAAGGCUAUUGUCUCAUGAAUAUGAGCCAGACUCCACAGAAGCUGGAGUCCUUCAUUAUGGAGCUAAACACAUACACCUGGCUUAGGAGUCAGAAAAACUGAAAGAGAAUUCAGGGAAGUAGAGAAAUUGCAAGCCCAGAUGCUGCUUCAUACCAAAGAAGCAAGUCAGCAGGUCAGCAACAAUGUGUAUCAGUUCCAAAAUGACUUACACAGGUACCAAGACAAGACAUUAUAUACACUUAUAUAGUCAAAUACUUUAAAACUGUUAACAAACUUGCUACAAUUGUCUCAUUUGUCUUUUAACCUUAAUAUCACAGAUCAAGUUUGUAAUCUCAAAAGUUCACCCUGGCUGCUGUGUGGAGUAUUCUCUUAUCUGCUCAUAUUACACUGUGCUUAUUCAUUCAUCAGUUAAUGGAAAUUUGGGUUGUUUCCUGAUUUUGACUGUAAUGAAUAAUGUUGCUGUAAACAUUCAUGUACAGUUUUGUGUGGACAUGCUUUUCUUUCUCUUGGGUAGGUUCCUAUGAGUGGAAUCACUAGAUUGUAUGGUAAAUGUAUGUUUAACUUUUAAAGAAACUGUCAAACUGUUUUCUAACAUGAACGGGCCAUUUUACGUUCUUAUCAACAAUAUAUGAUGGUUUCAAUUUUCCCACAUCCUCACCAACAUUUGGUAUUGUCUCUCUUUUACAUCAUAACUAUUUUAGUGGGGAUGUAGUGAUAUCUUAUCGUGGUUUUAAUUUGUGUCUCCCUAAUGACUAAUGAUAUUGUGCAUCUUUGCAUAUGCUUGUUAGCCAUUUAUGUACAUUCUUUAGUGAAAUGGCUAUUCAAAUCUUCUGCCCAUUUAAAAAUCGAGUUGUUUUUCUUAUUAUUCAGUUGUAAGAGUUUUUUCUUUAUUCUGUGCAAAAGUCCUUUAUCAAGUCUAGGAUUUUUGAAUAUUUUCUCAACCUAGAGCUUGUUUUUCAACAUUUUUUUCUUAAUGAUCUUUUGAAGUGCAAAAGUUUGAUUUUGAUGAAGUCUAAUGUAUCACUUCUUCCUUUAACUGUCAUGAUUUUUGUGUCGUAUCUAAGAACUCUUUACCCAACUCAAAGUUACCAAGGUAUUUUCUUCCAGAAGUUUUGCAGUUUUAACUCUUCUAUAUAGGCCUGUGAUCCAUUUUUAAUUCAUUUUUUGCAUAUGAUGUGAGAGAAGGGCCUAAGUUCAUAUUCGUACAUGUGGAUGUACAAUGGUUCCAGGAUCACUUGCUGAGAAAAGACUAUCCUUUCCCCAUUGAUUUUUUUGGCACCUGUGUCAAAAAUCAAUUGACCAUAAAUGCAAGCGUUUAUAUCUGAACUCUCAGUUCUUCUCCAUUCAUCUCUAAGGAUAUGUCUAUGCUUACAUCAAUAUCACAGUGUAUUCAUGUGGCUUUGUAGUAAAUUUUGAAAUUGGGUGAUAGAAGUCUUUCAAUUUUGUUCUUAGUUUUCAGAAUAGUUUUGGCUGUACUUUGCAUUUUGAUACAAAUUUUAGGAUGUAUGUGUGAAGUUUUACAAAAAUGCUUGCUGGAGUUUUGAUAGGAAUUGUGUUGAACCUAUAGAUCUAUUUGAGGGGGGAAUUGCCAUCUUGACAAGCUUGAGUCUUCCAAUCCAUGGACAGGGAAUGUCUCCAUUUAUUUAAAUCUUCAUUAAUUUUUCUUAGUAACGUUUCACAAUUUUUAGCGUACAAGUCUUAAACUUUUAUUACAUUUAUUUCUGUUUAUUCUUUUUGAGGCUUUGUGAAUAGAAUUUUUUUAAUUUUAUUUUUUGGGCUUGACAUUGCUGAUAUAUACAAAUACAAUAGAUUUUUAAAAUACUGAUCUUAGAUCCUGCAGCUUUGCUAAAUUCUUCGAUUAGUUCUAGAUAUUUUGUGUAUAGAUUCCUUGGUGUUUUCUAUACGCAAGAUUAUGCCAUCUGCAAAUAGAAGCAGUUUUAAUUCUUCCUUUACUCUCAGUCUGCUUUUAAUGAGCUAUUAUGUCUUCUGUUCUGUAUUGGUCAAACCCUCACCUGGAUCACAGUAUUUAUUACUGACCAUCACAGUUUCCUUGAGGAAAUGAAAAAAAUUAAAAAGAU